rnacentral:rRNA from 1 species
GUCUACAGCCAUGCCACUCUGAACACGCCCGAUCUCGUCUGAUCUCGAAAGCUAAGCAGGGUCGGGUCUGGUUAGUACUUGGAUGAGAAACCACAUAAGAAUACCAUGGGCUGUAGGCU